rnacentral:rRNA from 1 species
GACGAACGCUGGCGGCGUGCUUAACACAUGCAAGUCGAACGGAAAGGCCCUGCUUUUGUGGGGUGCUCGAGUGGCGACCGGGUGAGUAACACGUGAGUAACCUGCCCUUGACUUUGGGAUAACUUCCGGAAACUGGGGCUAAUACCGGAUAGGAGCUCCUGCUGCAUGGUGGGGGUUGGAAAGUUUCGGCGGUUGGGGAUGGACUCGCGGCUUAUCAGCUUGUUGGUGGGGUAGUGGCUUACCAAGGCUUUGACGGGUAGCCGGCCUGAGAGGGUGACCGGCCACAUUGGGACUGAGAUACGGCCCAGACUCCUACGGGAGGCAGCAGUGGGGGAUAUUGCACAAUGGGCGGAAGCCUGAUGCAGCAACGCCGCGUGCGGGAUGACGGCCUUCGGGUUGUAAACCGCUUUCGCCUGUGACGAAGCGUGAGUGACGGUAAUGGGUAAAGAAGCACCGGCUAACUACGUG